UUCGUUAUUUUCUUUUAUUUUUGAUUUAACCCCAUAAUUUUGUUUUUGCUUCAAUUUGAUCCUUUUUAACGCUGCAUUUUGGGGAUUUAGGGUAUUUUUCAUUUUGGUCCCCUCUCUUUAGGUGCGCAUCACGAUUUAGUCCUUUUUUUGUUUUUUUAUUUCGAUUUCACCCCGUAUUUUAGACUUUACUUCGAUUUAGUCCCUUUCUAGCAUUUUUCAUUAUCUUCUUCAUUAUUUUAAUGUAUUAUCAUUUAUUAUUAUUAUUAUUUCUAUUAUUAUUAUUAUGUAUAUUACUGUUACUUAUCAUUAUUAUUAUGUGAUAGCUUAAAUAUA
rnacentral:lncRNA from 1 species